UGUUAAAAUUUUCAUCCAUUUGUGCUAUUAAAAACUACCAUGGCUAAUGAAAUAAUCAAAUAGUGACACGUGACAUGCUGACAUGUAAGGCCCUUUUUUAAACAGUACAAAUGGAUGAAAUGUUUAACA
rnacentral:pre_miRNA from 1 species